rnacentral:rRNA from 1 species
AGAGUUUGAUCCUGGCUCAGAUUGAACGCUGGCGGCAGGCCUAACACAUGCAAGUCGAGCGGUAGAGAGAAGCUUGCUUCUCUUGAGAGCGGCGGACGGGUGAGUAAUGCCUAGGAAUCUGCCUAGUGGUGGGGGAUAACGUUCGGAAACGGACGCUAAUACCGCAUACGUCCUACGGGAGAAAGCGGGGGACCUUCGGGCCUCGCGCCAUUAGAUGAGCCUAGGUCGGAUUAGCUAGUUGGUGAGGUAAAGGCUCACCAAGGCGACGAUCCGUAACUGGUCUGAGAGGAUGAUCAGUCACACUGGAACUGAGACACGGUCCAGACUCCUACGGGAGGCAGCAGUGGGGAAUAUUGGAC